UCACUAAACAGUAUAUCUUAUUCCGGAAGGAAAACAACAAAAUAUAUGUUUGAACAUAUAGGAUUACUAGGCAAUCUAAUUCGAGCAUUGGCCCUUCUUCGUCUAAUAAGGUAUCUUAUUUUGUGGUCUCCCAAAUUUGGAGUGGCAAUAGUUGUUCCCUCAAAAUUAACAUUUAAGCCAACUUGUAAAAAAUGAAUUAAGAAAACUUGCAAGAAUGUUAUUCAUACUUAAUGAGUUUGUCCAUAUAUCUUCUGCCAUUGUCCAAGCUUGUUUAUGAGUUGUCACGUCUUCCACAACCCAUUUCAAUUCAAGAAAAUUCACAACACAAAACCCACCUAACAAAAUAAAUAUAAACAACAAUAGAAAAUCAUUCAAAUAGUUCAAAGUAAGUCUAUAAUGAUUUAUUUAGAUCUAAUCAAGAUCCCAAUCAAGUAAAUAAAACAUCAAGGUUUGUUCACUUAACACACCCCAAAUUUUUACAUGGAUUUGGUUUCAAAUUACAAAAAAAAAAACAAAAAAACAAAAAACAAAACGAACGAACAAACAAACAUGGAUGUGAAAUGUGAACAAAGCUAAAAAUUAAUAAACUUGAAAAGUGCUUCAAUAAAGUGGAAAAUGUUGGUGUAGAAAAACAUGGUACGAGAUAACACAAGAAUUAACGCAUGCAAUAAAAAAAAAAAGAAUUAACAGGUGAAACUUCAAAUGAAGUACUCAAAUAAAACCCAGUACAUCUUAUUCCAUUUCAAAAACUAUAAAUUUGGAAAAAUAAUUUUCUCCUAUUUUCUUAAUUUUACCUUUCUGGGUUCCUCUUUGUUCGUGCUCAGAGUUAGAUCUGAGACUUUCAAGAAGUCACACAUUUAUUGAUGCUUAUUGAAAGAGAAAAUGAACUGCAGAUACACAGAGAUAAAUCGCCGGAACUUGAAACUUAGCCGGAGAAGAGAAUAGAUUCCCACAAAUUGUGCUGAAUUUGAAGCUUACCCAGAAAAGAAAAUAUAUUUCUAAAAUCUUUACUCAAGUCUUCAUAGAUUUUAAGAAUGAUUUUCAGAUCUAGAAAGAAAGAGGAAAAAACGAAGUCUUUGGUAAAUAUUACAAAGAGAAAGAAGACGAGAAGAUCCCAUAUGAAAACCCACCAAUUUCCAAGCAGCACACUUAAUUCGGCUCAACUCAAUUGCCUCAGCUGACCACAACAUGCUCACUUCCAAGUAGCUCAAUUAAACCGGCUCAAUUCAAGGUGGCUGAGAUCACAAAUUCGGCUUGUGAACAGUAAAUUCGCAAUUGUCUCUUUUACUUUUAGUUAGAUAUGGAGUAAAAGGCUCACGCGGGGGGCGCAAAUAAUUGCAUUAAAUAGUGGAUUGAAUGUGCUCAUCGUUUAGACUCCCUCUAACCCAUCACCAAAUGGUAUGUCUAAUUCCUGAACACGAAAAUGACAAAUACUUGUUGAACAUAUAGGCUGAUAUGAAAUAAAAUGCAGUUC
rnacentral:lncRNA from 1 species